AUGACGUGUUGAUGUGUAUUGUUCCGCAUGAUUAAAGUGCUAGUUCCUUGAAGUAACAAGUCCAAGUUCUCAUCAGUUCUUUUCAGUGAUUUUGACUACAUAUAAGAGGAUGUGGUGUAAUUGCCAAUGAGAAGACUCUUCAAAGAGACCAAAUGACACAGAAAUUAACACCUAUAGGUCACUGUACGGCAUUCAACAAUGAGCAAAAGCCAACCGCAUAGUCAGCUAUAAACAGGGUCGGAUUCAGGUUUUUUGAAAGAGG
rnacentral:lncRNA from 1 species